GUUAUGUGUAUUUUGAAACAGGAAAUCUCGCCAUCCUCACCAAAGCCAUUUCCUUGAGAGGAUUUUAUCUGGUUUGUCUCCUUGACUCCAGGCAGGGCUCCAUUCCAACCAGAUGGAAGGUAAUCUUUUAUUUAAUUUAUCUUCUAAUUAUUUAGUUAAUUUAAAGAUUUUUUGCUCUCUCUCCUGAAGUUGCUCAGGAAUAUGAAGAAAAGGGAGGGAGGCCAGACCAGGCCAUUCUCAAACAGCAUAGAACUUCCCAGUGACUGGAUGAAAGAUUUGCAUUUCAGAACAGCAGCUGUUAUCUUGGUUGCUGGAAUUUGCUUUCCCUCUCAACCCCCCAGCCAGCCUGUAUCUCUCAGCUUCUAAAAAUAUAAUCUUAUUCUUGCUCUCUUUUCAACUUGAAAUGGACAUAGAAUGCAGACAUCUCACAUCAUUUACACCCAGAAGGCUGUCAGCAGCGGCGCUCAGGGAGUGAGAGUGUUUAAUCUCGAGGAGGAAAUAGAAUGUAUACACACCCUGCAAACUGAGAUGUUUUACGUUGGCUCUGGCUCCUACCGCCCCCAUGUGCGGCAGCAGCUACCAAGACUCUACUGUGAAUCCCCAUGACUGGGCUCUCACUGGCAAAAUCUACUUGUUUCCAGCAAUACAGAGUGGAUCUGGGCAUGGGCAGAAGAUGGGUACAGCAGAAAUUUGGCAGUUACUCAGCAUGAGCUGCUUUCUUCACACAUGGACACAACCACAAAUACCUGCCUUUUCUUUUCUCCCCACCAACUUCCAGUCUUUUAGUUUGCUUUGCCCUGUGAAGGCUUGUAGUCUUUUCUACUCCUCUUGUCAGUCAGGAAAAUUACUCUGAUAAUCCUUGCACAGCAAGGUGGUAGACACAUCCCAUGCUUGAUUUGGGGGGUGGUGGUCCUUGGCCACAAAUAAAUCAGAAGCCCACUAUAGCUGACUUAAGCAGAAAAAGAAUUUAUUAGGGGAAGUGGAUGUUCCCAUAGGCUACACACAGACAGGAGAGCAAGGCUUGGGGCACGUCCCCGAGGAGGACACCCAAGGGGCACCAUGGC
rnacentral:lncRNA from 1 species